rnacentral:rRNA from 1 species
GCUAUCGGAUUGGUACUAAGCCAUGUGAGUCAUUGUAGCAAUACAAGGCAUACGGCUCAGUAACACGUAGUCAAUCUGCCCUAUGGACGUGGAUAACCUCGGGAAACUGAGAAUAAUCCGCGAUAGAUCAUUAUGCCUGGAACGGUUUAUGGUCCAAAUGAUUCGUCGCCAUAGGAUGGGACUGCGGCCUAUCAGCUUGUUGGUGAGGUAAUGGCCCACCAAGGCUAUUACAGGUACGGGCUCUGAGAGGAGAAGCCCGGAGAUGGGUACUGAGACACGGACCCAGGCCCUAUGGGGCGCAGCAGGCGAGAAACCUUCGCAAUGUGCGCAAGCACGACAAGGUUAAUCCGAGUGUUUCCUGCUAAAGGAAUCUUUUGUUAGUUCUAAAACCACUGAUGAAUAAGGGGUGGGCAAGUUCUGGUGUCAGCCGCCGCGGUAAAACCAGCACCUCAAGUGGUCAGGAGGAUUAUUGGGCCUAAAGCAUCCGUAGCCGGUUCUGUAAGUUUCCGGUUAAAUCCACUAGCUCAACUAAUGGGCUGCCGGAAAUACUGCAGAACUAGGGAGUGGGAGAGGUAGACGGUACUCGGGAGGAAGGGGUAAAAUCCUUUGAUCUCUUGAUGACCACCUGUGGCGAAGGCGGUCUACCAGAACACGUUCGACGGUGAGGGAUGAAAGCUGGGGGAGCAAACCGGAUUAGAUACCCGGGUAGUCCCAGCUGUAAACGAUGCAGACUCGGUGAUGCACUGGCUUUUGGCCAGUGCAGUGCCGCAGGGAAGCCGUUAAGUUUGCCGCCUGGGAAGUACGUACGCAAGUAUGAAACUUAAAGGAAUUGGCGGGGGAGCAC